UACGUAGGGGGCAAGCGUUGUCCGGAAUCAUUGGGCGUAAAGCACGUGUAGGCGGCUCGAUAAGUCUGCUGUGAAAGUUCAGGGCUCAACCCUGAAAUGCCGGUGGAAACUGUCGAGCUAGAGUACGGAAGAGGUGAGUGGAAUUCCUGGUGUAGCGGUGAAAUGCGCAGAUAUCAGGAGGAACACCAAUGGCGAAGGCAGCUCACUGGGACGUUACUGACGCUGAGACGCGAAAGCGUGGGGAGCAAACAGG
rnacentral:rRNA from 1 species